UGUGAUUUUGAAGAAAAACGUAUCAUGAUUUUCCAGCUCUGGUCCAAAGACUGGCAUUUUCUCCUCUCCAGUGUCAAGAGUUUCAAAGCCUGAAAGGAAGCAGUGACAGAAAUGGAAAGGAUGAUGGGGAUUUAAAGCAGAACCCAAAACAUCUUAAGAAUCUUACUCUGGGUCUCUCUGGCCCCGCCCAUACUAGUCCAUUUUUCAGUGAGCAGAUGAACCUUUUCAAAUAAAUGAAGACGCCUGUGAUAUGAUUCCAGAACUGAUGGACUGCAGAUCGAAAAGGAAAGGGGGGAACUGCGUCUGGAGACGUAUAGUUCUGACAAGCAGGCGUGCAAGUUCACUCCGUCCUAGGAUUCCCAAAUGUAAAGAAAGUUUCCACUGGACACAGACCCCAGGGCAGAGGUGAUUAGACAUGAGGGGACUCUCCACCACCCAUCCCAAGGACUGCCAUGCCUGUUGCCCUUUUUUGUUGUUGCUGUUCUUUCUUUAGUUAGGAUUAUAGUUGCUUUACAAUGUUGUUAGUUUCUGCUGUACCAGGAAUUGAACCAGCUAAUUGUGCAUACAAAUGCCCUGCCUCUUGGACCUCCCUCCUACCACCCCCACCCUCCAUUCCACUCGUCUAGGUCAUCACAGAUCGCUGGUGCUCACUGGCUUCCCAUUGGGGAUCUAUUUUGCACGUGGUAGUGUAUAUGUGUGUGUGUGUGUGUAUCUGUCCUAAUCAGCCCUAAUCAGUCAGAGCUUUCAGCUUCACUGUGGACCCGGCUGAGCAUCGAGGGCACUUCGAGGGGACAGGACAGUGGGGCCCACCAUGGGCUUUUCGCCAGUCUCUCAGGGCUGCGCCAGUCGGCCCUGCUACCCAGCCCCAAGCUCGAGAAAGUCCUUGCAUUUUCUCAGGUUUUCUUUGAAGAUGUUUCCUGCUGCUAAGUCACUUCAGUCGUGUCCGACUCUGUGCGAUAGAUGGCAGCCCACCAGGCUCCCCCAUCCCUGGGAGUCUCCAGGCAAGAACACUGGAGUGGGUUGCCAUUUCCUUCUCCAAUGCAUCAAAGUGAAAAGUGAAAGUGAAGUCGCUCAGUCGUGUCUGACUCUUCGCGACCACAUGGACUGCAGCCUACCAGGCUCCUCCAUCCAUGGGAUUUUCCAGGUAAGAGUACUGGAGUGGGGGUGCCAUUGCCCUGUUUGAUAAGCU
rnacentral:lncRNA from 1 species